UGUGUGUGUGUGUGUGUGUGUGUGACAGAGAAGCAUUGUCCUGGCUGUUGUGUGGCUAAUGGGUCAUCAGAGGGUUGUGUGUGUGUGUGUGUGUGUGAGAGAGAGAGAGAGAGUGUGUGUUAAUUUGAAUGAAAGUCCCUUUAAUUAGGCCGCUGUGCCGGCUUAUUGUCACUUCUUGUGUUGUGAAAGAUUAGGCUUGUCAAAUAAAGGGUGCUUGUAAAGGACUGUGUGUGUUUUUCAUGUUCUUAUAUCCCGGUGGGGACUUUGACCUGAAUGCACACUAACCCAUGGGGACUGAUCGAAAAGUCGAGGUUCCUGCGGCUUUUUGAGGGUUAAGACUUGGUUUUAGGGUGCAGGUUACAGUUGGGUUAAGGUUUGGGUUAAGGUUAGACAUUUAGUUGUGAUGGUUAAGGUUAGGGUAAGGGGCUAGGGAAAGCAUUAUGUCAAUGACUGUCCCCCACGGGGAUAGUGAAACAAACGUCUGUGUGUGUGUGUUUUAGUUUUAGUCACUAUGUCAAAAGCAAUGCCAUCAUACUGGUGGAACGUAACAUCCACAUUGACAUUUAUUUCAGUCUCGUUUAGGCAAGUUAAUUUGCUAUCCAGGAGGCUUGCCUAAUCUUGUUUUAACUCUGUUUCAGUGCUCCUGUGGAUUACAACCCCUGAAUGCUGGACUUCUUCUAUGUCGUCAUACAUGAUCUUGUCCUAAAAGUUGCUGCAGGUUUGGCCAUCAACAGUUCCUCUAUGAAUUACUGCUUCCUGUCAAGUGUGUGUGUCCUAUGAGACAGAGGGCAGCUUACCCACGUCAUCAUGUUGGACUGAGACUCGUGGCAUCAAAGAGCCACUGAAUGGGAACGUCAGAAGAACAACAUGAGCCAUUGUCCUCCUGGCAUGCUGUGCACCGGAAAACACUGUUCAUGAUCCCAUAAAAAUGUUUUUGGCAUUUAUGGAGAAGCUGCACACAGUGUGUCUGACAAAGUCGUUAUGGCCUGCAGGUUUCCGCUAUAGAAAACCGAAGGUGUUGUCAAUAUACCUAAUCAGUAACACCAAAUUGAGACUUUUCUUUUUUGAAUUCUCGCUUUAACUCUAAAUGCUCAUGAAAUUAGAUUUUAUGGUGAGGAAAUCUAAAAUGUUGUCUUUAUGCUGUGACUGGUACGGUGGCCAACAAGGGCAAACGCACUGCAGCUUAAGAAAACACAUGUAAAUAGAAAAAACACAAGCAACUUAAGAAAACAUCUUCAUUAAUUUGAUAACAGGCAGGCAUUUCAG